AUUGAACGCUGGCGGCAUGCUUUACACAUGCAAGUCGAACGGCAGCGCGGGCUUCGGCCUGGCGGCGAGUGGCGAACGGGUGAGUAAUGCAUCGGAACGUGCCCAGUAGUGGGGGAUAGCCCGGCGAAAGCCGGAUUAAUACCGCAUACGACCUGAGGGUGAAAGCGGGGGACCGAAAGGCCUCGCGCUAUUGGAGCGGCCGAUGUCGGAUUAGCUAGUUGGUGGGGUAAAGGCUUACCAAGGCGACGAUCUGUAGCUGGUCUGAGAGGACGACCAGCCACACUGGGACUGAGACACGGCCCAGACUCCUACGGGAGGCAGCAGUGGGGAAUUUUGGACAAUGGGGGCAACCCUGAUCCAGCCAUGCCGCGUGCGAGAAGAAGGCCUUCGGGUUGUAAACCGCUUUUGUUCGGGAAGAAAUCCUCUGGGCUAAUACCCCGGGGGGAUGACGGUACCGGAAGAAUAAGCACCGGCUAACUACGUG
rnacentral:rRNA from 1 species